rnacentral:rRNA from 1 species
AGUGAACGCUGGCGGUAGGCCUAACACAUGCAAGUCGAACGGCAGCACAGUAAGAGCUUGCUCUUACGGGUGGCGAGUGGCGGACGGGUGAGGAAUACAUCGGAAUCUACUUUUUCGUGGGGGAUAACGUAGGGAAACUUACGCUAAUACCGCAUACGACCUACGGGUGAAAGCAGGGGAUCUUCGGACCUUGCGCGAUUGAAUGAGCCGAUGUCGGAUUAGCUAGUUGGCGGGGUAAAGGCCCACCAAGGCGACGAUCCGUAGCUGGUCUGAGAGGAUGAUCAGCCACACUGGAACCGCGACACGGUCCAGACUCCUAAGGGAGGCAGCAGUGGGGAAUAUUUGACGAUGGGCGCAAGCCUGAUCCAGCCGUACCGCGUGGGUGAAGAAGGCCUUCGGGUUGUAAAGCCCUUUUGUUGGGAAAGAAAAGCAGCAGGUUAAUACCCCGCUGUUCUGACGGUACCCAAAGAAUAAGCACCGGCUAACUUCGUG